GAAAUGCGAUACCUGGUGUGAAUUGCAGAAUCCCGCGAACCAUCGAGUCUUUGAACGCAAGUUGCGCCCGAGGCCAUCCGGCCGAGGGCACGCCUGCCUGGGCGUCACGCUAAACACGCUCCCACCCCCCCUCAUCGGGGGAGCGGGAUGCGGCAUGUGGCCUCCCGUCUCGCAAGGGGCGGUGGGCCGAAGAUAUGGCUGCCGGCGUAUCGUGCCGGACACAGCGCUAGGUGGGCGUUCUCGCUAAGCUUAUCGCAGUGUAUCCGGUACGUAGCUGGCACGAUAGCCUCUAAAGACCCUUUGAACGGUGCGCAUGACGCUCCGACCGCGACCCCAGGUCAGGCGGGACUACCCGCUGAAUUUAA
rnacentral:rRNA from 1 species